AUGCUGCUGUUCUCUAUCCAGCAGGUUCAUGAUGAUGAUGAUGAUGAUGAUACUGAGAUGAAAGAUGGCAGUUUCAUUGAAAUGCUUAAAUCAGCCACAGAGGGGCCUGCAAAUCCCGCUGACGAUGGAUUGAGCUCUCACGAUGAGACCGGGACCGCUGAAGUAAUCGACAAGAUGUUUGAAGAGGUGCUGGAAUGUGCCGGAAAUGUGGAAGAAAAGGAGCGAGUGGAUGAAGAUGCAGAGGACUGCGAUAGUGGUAUCGGUGCUUGCUCUGGAGAUAAAGACAAGAUGGACACCGACGUGCAGAAGGAGACGAGUGAAGAAGCAACAGAAGAGGGGAAGAAUGAAAGCAACAAGCUGGACAGUUAUGGAGAUGAGCUGCUGACCUUUCCUCCAAGCGUCAUCCUCUCUCCUCUCAGCAAGUCUGUAGAAGCUGCGGUCACCCCGAUGCGGCUGGCAGCAGCUCAGGAGUCAAGCUCUUCAUCGUUGCUCCUGACUCCAGAAGAAACCAGCACCCCUCCGGCUGACUUCGCUCCACUUUACAGUGUCGAUGCGUACCGCACACAACGACAGAGUAAGCUACCCGCCACUCAGGGCGUGACUCCAGCUGCUCAGAGACGGGCCACAGAGGUGUCCGAGCCCCAGCCGUUGGUCAACACCAAGGAGAGAAUAGCCGUGAGGAACUAA
rnacentral:lncRNA from 1 species